UAAUACGAAGGGGGCAAGCGUUGUUCGGAAUGACUGGGCGUAAAGGGCGCGUAGGCGGUUCGUUGCGUCAGAUGUGAAAGCCCCGGGCUCAACCUGGGAACUGCAUUUGAUACGGGCGGGCUUGAAUCCAAGAGAGGGUGGUGGAAUUCCCAGUGUAGAGGUGAAAUUCGUAGAUAUUGGGAAGAACACCAGUGGCGAAGGCGGCCACCUGGCUUGGUAUUGACGCUGAGGCGCGAAAGCGUGGGGAGCAAACAGGAUUAGAUACCCUGGUAGUCCACGCCGUAAACGAUGUGUGCUAGCCGUCGGGCAGCUUGCUGUUCGGUGGCGCAGCUAACGCGAUAAGCACACCGCCUGGGGAGUACGGUCGCAAGAUUA
rnacentral:rRNA from 1 species